rnacentral:rRNA from 1 species
UACGUAGGGACCAAGCGUUGUUCGGAUUUACUGGGCGUAAAGGGCGCGUAGGCGGCAAUUCAAGUCAUCUGUGAAAUCUCCGGGCUUAACCCGGAACGGUCAGGUGAUACUGUUUAGCUAGAGUGCGGAAGGGGCAAUCGGAAUUCUCGGUGUAGCGGUGAAAUGCGUAGAUAUCGAGAGGAACACCAGAGGUGAAGACGGGUUGCUGGGCCGACACUGACGCUGACAGCGCGAAAGCCAGGGGAGCAAACGGG